CGUCGUCCCAUCCUCACCGACUGCAGCCUCCUGAGCUUCUUCAGUAGCGGCUUUGCGUUUCAGGCCUUUCUUUCCGCUGCCGCCGCUCUUGUCUCCGGCCUUCGCCAUGGGAGUGUAGAUAAAGAACUGAAAUUGAGAAGAGAAUGAUGAACUGAACCCUGAAGCAGUCUCACAUGAAGAGCUAGAAAGAAAAGGAGGACCUAGUAAAGGAGAAUGAGAAUGGAAAAUCAAGAGAGUAGAGUGUCAUGAAAGCGAACAUGUUUUCCCAAUCUAGAUGCUAAACUAAACAUUGUUGAGGAAAAAAGACAUCAUGCUUGCCCUCAGGUAGCUUACAGUUUGGAAGAAGAUAAAACAGAAUUCUAGUGUUGACACACUACACAGUAUCAAAAAAGUCACAAUGUUGAAAUCACUACUGGUCUCAUCAGAGAAGUCUUCUGGUGCUAAGUACUCCUUGGAAGGAAAGUUAUGACCAACCUCGACAGCAUAU